AAAGAGGGUGAGCAGUUGGGUUUUGAAAUUGAACGGUUGGAUUUGAUUUGCAGAGAAGAAGGAGAUGAAGAUGAUGGGAUGAUAUCCAGUUGAGGAUUGUGUACAGCCAGAGAAAAUAAUAGAGAGAGAGGGAGGGAGGGAGGGGUUGGAGGUAUGUGAAAAACCCAAAUCCAAU